GUGUAGUUCCAGCCUAAGUGUUUGUCAAAGGUACACACAGCCACAAUGUAGCAUCCGUAAUGUAUUCAACAUGGUAGAUUACCUGCCCUAUAGCAUUACAUACUCACAACUUUCUUAAGCAUAUUUUUAUAUUGUGCUACAUCUUAAAAUGCAGUUUUUUUACUUGUCUUUACCUAAUGACAUUUGUGUUUCUCCCACCCCUUCUAAUAGGAAAAAAAAGCAACAAAUCCUCAAUUACCCUCAAACUGACUUUCAUACAAAGUGGCACAGGGAAUUAUUCUUAGAAACUGUGGAAUUAUGGGAGAUAAGUGUAUGAUCUCACACUCUGGUUUGCUUCCCCUUUAUCCAUAGCUAAGCAUGGUGUAACUCUGUCCCAUUUUCUCCACAGAUGAAGGAGUAUCACAGAAGGCGACCACUCCAGCACCAAUGGGAGGAAAGGAAAAAAGAAUGAGAUCCUGAUAACCCGGCACAGCUCUCUCCAGAGCCAAAGCUGAAUCAGGAGAAGCAACUGGAAGCCGAGUGGGACCAGCAGAGGGUUUUGGCUGCAAGAAGAGGCUGUAUGUAAGGGGUGCACGCAGGAGCCAAGUUGCUGGACAUGUGAUCGUAUGUGAGCCAUAGCUUCCUUUAGAUCAUCCUGGAUAUCGUACCAUAGUGAGAACUGGUGGAUCUGAAGGCUCUGGAAGCUGAGGCUUUGGAGAAGAAGAAAUUCGGGGAGAAUGAGCAUCUGCAGCUAUUGCCGAGUUCCACCCACGAAGUUGAAAGAAAGUACUGGACUACUCCCCAACUAGUAGGAGUAAAGAAGUGCACAGAGCAGGGAUAUCACAGACACACAAGGACUUGCUGUGGGAAAGUGAAUGGGGCCUUCUCUGGAGAAAAACAACAAUAACAAUUCAUUCAGAUCUUUUUCUCCACCUGUGGAAUGGCAUUGGUGACAGAAGCAACGACAUUGACUGAAAAUGCAGAUUGCUUUAUAUUUCUGUACCCUGAGCUGUAUGCACAAAGGACAUUGACAGGUUUCAUGAAUUAAAAGGGAUGGGGAGAGUGCCCACCCAUGGGAGCGGUACAGGAAGGAGUUGCCUCCCCUUUUGCAGAAAGGAAGAAGCCACCAUGCUGUGUGCAGGGAAGGAGGGAAAGCUGCAGGGAGAAGCAGUGAAGCUGAAAGCUGCCGAUUGGACCCGAAAGCUGCUGAUUGGAUCCAAAGAAGAGGAGAAGCUGACAAAAUUCAAUGAAUAGAAGAGGAAGAAUGAAGAAGACCUUUAAAGAGCCAGAUAACAGAUUAAUUCAGAACCCUGACAGAGCCAUGUUCAGCGAUGCGAAACCCGAUCCCGCUCUCCCUUCUCGAACCUGUCAACGAAAUGUUGAAAAAUCAGCUAUUUUCUGCAAUUUUCGCUGCUGCGAUCUUUCAUCGAGAAAGCUGGGGCUUUUAUUUCUGGAUUAGAGGGACGGAAGGUUGUGAACUUUGAACUUUGACCUUCUUGACAAGAUAACCUUUUAGUUGUGAAUGAGUUAACCAACAAGAGAGUGCUUGUUUACAGAUCCCUCCAAGUUGUCUUCUCAGCAGACAAACAUAUUUCUUCCUUAAAGAAAAUGCAUGUCAAAGAGAUCACUGCAGUGUGGAAUAAGACAGAAAAGAGGGCCCAAACAGCGGAUAAACUUCUGAAAAAAUACCCUUUAAGGAAGAGGAUUCCAAAUUCUGGGAUUCUGGGAACCUAAGGUUGACGCAGCCUUGGUGAGGCUUGCUAAAAAUAAGCACUUUCAUGGUGGAUGAUGCAGCAGUUUUCAAGGAGCCCAUGGAGAAAGAGAUUGAAUGAAGUCAGAAGCUUACUGCAAGAUCACUUGUGAGCAGUGAGGAGAACGCUGUGGCUCAAGCCCUGGGCAGAAGACGUGGCCUUCAAAACUAAUAUUUGCCAGCUUCCUUUUGAAGGUGAAAUGCUUUUUGAGGAAAAACUAGUUGCAAUCAUAAAAGUCUCCGAAGCUUGGACUGGGUGUUUUUGAAGGUUUUAUAUUGUUCUAAUUUCCACCAGCCAUUGGAUCCAGCCAAUAUAAUAUAAAACAGUGUGUGGAAGCAGUCACACUCCUUGAAUGGAUAAAUUAUCACACCGCACAUUUAAGAAAGGACAGCGUCUAUUUUCCCGAAAUACCACUUUCGAUAAAUGUUUUGUUUAAAGGAAGUGCAUGCUUGUAGCCAGCAAUGGCUAACAGGAAGUAAAAGGACUAACCACGACCUGGAUGUGUAACUCUGCACGUAGAGAGAAGGCGUAAGGAGACAUCACUCUGACUCCCGUUACUCUUUCUGGACAGAAUAACUGCAAGCCCAUAAGAUGACCUUAUAAAGUUUGCAUAAACCACCAGGCAGACAGGAACCAAUGAUUGCUCCCAUAUCCCUGACAAAGAUGUCACCCUCAGCCACAUCGCAGAGUGACACGCCAAUGCUAAUGUCACCUCUCAUCCCACAGAGGCAAUGUCAAGAGGAAAUUAAAAAAAAAAAAAAAGGGCUGAGAGAUUCUCAAUCUGUAGAUCUCUGAGGGAAUAAAAUUCUCUGUAAUGAUUUUCAGGCAGAGGCUCUUCUCCUCUGUGUGUGAGUUGUGCAUUCCAUACUGAUACCCUGUAAAUCACAAAUCAUUCAGGCAGGACAUAUUUGUCAUACAGAUGCAUUCUCCCCGCUAUCCCUAUAGUUUAUCUCUGCUCCCACGGCUGAAAAAUAAAUUCCUCUAAUUUCUUCUCCCCUUUCUUCUUCUUUUAUUUCACCUGUAAAUCCCCAGCUAUCGGCCUCCUUGUAGUACUGGAUCCUCGACUCUUUUGGUGACCCAAACUAAUGUGCCCUAAGGGCAGGGGCACACUGGCAGAUUCGGGGAGAUUUAGUCUUUAGUCGCCUCUUCUUCGGGCGACAAU